GACGAACGCUGGCGGCGUGCUUAACACAUGCAAGUCGAACGGUAAGGCCCUUCGGGGUACACGAGUGGCGAACGGGUGAGUAACACGUGGGUGAUCUGCCCUGCACUUCGGGAUAAGCCUGGGAAACUGGGUCUAAUACCGGAUAGGACUCCUGGCUUCAUGGUUGGGGGUGGAAAGCUUUUGCGGUGUGGGAUGGGCCCGCGGCCUAUCAGCUUGUUGGUGGGGGAAUGGCCUACCAAGGCGACGACGGGUAGCCGGCCUGGGAGGGUGACCGGUCACACUGGGACUGAGAUACGGCCCAGACUCCUACGGGAGGCAGCAGUGGGGAAUAUUGCACAAUGGGCGCAAGCCUGAUGCAGCGACGCCGCGUGAGGGAUGACGGCCUUCGGGUUGUAAACCUCUUUCAGCUAUGACGAAGCGCAAGUGACGGUAGUAGCAGAAGAAGGACCGGCCAACUACGUGCCAGCAGCCGCCGUAA
rnacentral:rRNA from 1 species